rnacentral:rRNA from 1 species
UAACUUUCUAGCAGUGAGGAAGGUGGAGUAUGUUAAUAGCAUAUUCAUUUGACGUUAGCUGCAGAAGAAGCACCGGCUAACUCCGUGCCAGCAGCCGCGGUAAUACGGAGGGUGCGAGCGUUAAUCGGAAUUACUGGGCGUAAAGCGCAUGCAGGUGGUUUGUUAAGUCAGAUGUGAAAGCCCGGGGCUCAACCUCGGAAUUGCAUUUGAAACUGGCAAACUAGAGUACUGUAGAGGGGGUAGAAUUUCAGGUGUAGCGGUGAAAUGCGUAGAGAUCUGAAGGAAUACCGGUGGCGAAGGCGGCCCCCUGGACAGAUACUGACACUCAGAUGCGAAAGCGUGGGGAGCAAACAGGAUUAUAUACCCUGGUAG